CUACGGGGGGCUCCAGUGGGGAAUCUUAGACAAUGGGCGCAAGCCUGAUCUAGCCAUGCCGCGUGAGUGAUGAAGGCCUUAGGGUCGUAAAGCUCUUUCGCUGGGGAAGAUAAUGACGGUACCCAGUAAAGAAACCCCGGCUAACUCCGUGCCAGCAGCCGCGGUAAUACGGAGGGGGGUAGCGUUGUUCGGAAUUACUGGGCGUAAAGCGCGCGUAGGCGGACUGUUAAGUCGGGGGUGAAAUCCCGGGGCUCAACCCCGGAACGGCCUUCGAUACUGGCAGUCUGGAGUUCGAGAGAGGUGAGUGGAAUUCCGAGUGUAGAGGUGAAAUUCGUAGAUAUUCGGAGGAACACCAGUGGCGAAGGCGGCUCACUGGCUCGAUACUGACGCUGAGGUGCGAAAGUGUGGGGAGCAAACAGGAUUAGAUACCCGGGUAGUC
rnacentral:rRNA from 1 species